AAAAAGCAGUGGGGCCUGAGAUCACCAAGACAGAUCUGGUCCCCGCCUUCCAGAACCUGAUGAAGGACUGUGAGGCAGAGGUGAGGGCCGCCGCCUCCCACAAGGUCAAAGAGUUCUGUGAGAACCUCUCGGCCGACUGUCGGGAGAACGUGAUCAUGACCCAGAUCCUACCCUGCAUUAAGGAGCUGGUGUCAGACGCCAACCAGCACGUCAAGUCGGCCCUGGCCUCAGUCAUCAUGGGCCUCUCGCCCAUCCUGGGCAAGGACAAC